GAUCUACCCAUGGCCAGGGUGAAGGGCGGGUGACACCGCCUGGAGGCCCGAACCCGUUGUCGUUGAAAAGACAUGGGAUGAGCUGUGGGGAGGAGUAAAAGUCUUAUCAUACCUGGAGAUAGCUCGUUCUCUCCGAAAUGUCUUUCGGGACAGCCUCGCGUUGCAACUGACGGGGGUAGAGCGACUGGUUGCCUUUGGGGCCCAUUGCGGGUACCCGGGGCAGCCAAACUCCGAAUACCGUCAGCCGAGUCGCGGGAGUGAGUCCAUGGGCGACAAUGUUCAUGGUCGAGAGGAGAACAACCCAGACCGCCAGCUAAGGCCCCCGAUCUCCGCUCAGUUCUUAAGGAAGUCGGAUUGCGGUGACAGCCAGGAUGUUGGCUUGGAAGCAGCCACCAUUUAAAGAGUGCGUAAUAGCUCACUGGUCGAGGAGUCCGGCGCCGAUAAUGAUCGGGAAUAAGCGGAGAGCCGAAGCUGCGGGCCGUCCUUCGGGGCGGCGGUAGGAGAGCGUUCCUGUCCGCUGCGAAGCGAUCCCGGAAGGGUUCGUGGAGCGUCAGGAAGUGAAUAUGCCGGCUUGAGUAACGAUAAAGCGGGUGAAAAUCCCGCUCGCCGAAAGCCCAAGGUUUCCUGGGGAAGGUACAUCCGCCCAGGGUCAGCCGGAUCCUAAGGCGAGGCCGAAAGGCGUAGUCGAUGGACAGCAGGUGAACAUUCCUGCGCCUCCGCGGCGAUCAAACCAUGGUGCGAGUCUCUGGUUGUCGGCGCAGCCGCUGGUUGCGCUGUGGGCUUCGGCCCGGCCGGCGAAGGGGGCUCCGAGAAAAGCCAUGGGGGCAAAGCGGAGUCCGUACCAAAACUGACACAGGUGGGCGUGGCGAAAAGCCUCAGGCGCUCGAGAGAACGGUCGUGAAGGAACUAGGCAAAUUCACCCCGUACGCUUGCAAGAAGGGGGCCCUACCCGAAAGGGAGGGCGCAGAGAAAAGGCUCUGGCGACUGUUUACCAAAAACACAGCACUGUGCAAACUCGAUAAGAGGACGUAUACAGUGUGACGCUUGCCCGGUGCCGGAAUGUCAAGGAAGCGGGUCAGCCUUUGGCGAAGCUCGCGACCGAAGCACCGGUAAACGGCGGCCGUAACUCUGACGGUCCUAAGGUAGCGAAGUUCCUUGUCGGGUAAGUUCCGACGCGCAUGAAUAGCGUAACGACCGGAGCACUGUCUCCACGACCGACUCGGUGAAAUAGUAGUGGCGGUGAAGAUGCCGCCUACCCGCGGCAAGACGGAAAGACCCCGUGGACCUUUACUGCAGGCUCCUAUUGGUCGCGAGCGCGAGCUGCGUAGCAUAGGUGGGAGGCGUUGAAGCCGGGCUUCCGGGCCCGGUGGAGCCACCGGUGAAAUACCACCCUGUUCCCGUUUGCGAUCUAACUCCGACUCCCUUGAAGCAGGGCGGAGGACAGUGGGUGUUGGGCAGUUUGGCUGGGGCGGUCUCCUCCCAAAGCGUAACGGAGGAGCGCAAAGGUCGGCUCAGCGCGGAUGGAAACCGCGUGUCGAGUGUAAAGGCACAAGCCGGCUUUACUGCGAGACCGACGGGUCGAGCAGUUGGGAAACCAGGCCUUAGUGAUCCUGCGGCUCCGUGUGGAAGGGCCGUAGCUCACCGGAUAAAAGGUACCCCGGGGAUAACAGGCUGAUCGCUCCCGAGCGUCCAUAGCGGCGGAGCGGUUUGGCACCUCGAUGUCGGCUCAUCACAUCCUGGG
rnacentral:rRNA from 1 species